UGGGCGUGCGUUUCGAGGUGGCGGCCACGGCGGUACGACGAGGUGGUGGAGGAGGGGGGGAGGAGGUCCCGGGGCAAGGCGGGGAGAGGCGCCGCUGGCACACCGCCGCGCAAGUGCCAGGCCACGCGGAGGAGGAGCCGGGGCAGCAGCAGCAGCCGGCCCGUCGUCCACCGCUUACACGUGUCGAUGCCGUGCCACCUGAAGCUCGCCGCGGGCCGCGACGCCACCUCGUCGGACAUGGCCGCCCACCGCCACCCGGUGCCGCCGGCCGGGCACCCCGCCUGCGAGCGCCUGACCCUGCUCCCGCUCGCGGCGGAGCUGUUCACCCUCGAGACGGCGUAGCGGUCCCUCGAGGCGUUCAAGGCGGCGAAGUUGGAGCGUGACCUCCAAAUACUAACCUACUGACUAGCUUCCCUAUCUAAAAGCGAUAGUAGAUCACUAUACCGUUAGGUCAAUCUAGACUAACGUUUUCAUGCACCACAAGGUCUACGACUUCUUAUGAAACUUUUCGAAGGACUUGGUGACUUUCUGUUCGCUUGUAUACCCAGAGAAGAGUUACAAAUACGGGUUCGAUCCUACUUUCUCUUUUGUCUUAUGUGUAAACUCGUCUACUCCUUUUUUCGCAAACGUUGACUGUGUAAUGGAAAAUUACACAACUACUUAAAAAUGCACCUACAACGUCUCGGACUCUUUCACAGAUGUCAAUGACUACUCUACUUCGUUUCUUUAUAGCGGAAACUACAGACGUGAAUGUUGUAAACCUAUUUCACGACACGUCGAUACUUUCUGCGACUACGUUACCUUGCUCAGAAAUUGGUCUACUAACGACUACUCAGACAACAACGGUUGACCUGAUGAAUAUGGUGUGAACGAUCGUACGUAUAGUUCGACCUCUUGAAACUCUUCCGUCUUCUUACGGACUUUCUUCGACUCUUCGCUCGUUGCCCAUCCCUAUUCUUUACAAAGGUAAAAGAGUAAUGUGAGAUAUCGGUGGAAGUCUUCUUCCUUCUUCAGAUGGCGUAAACCUUAACCAUAUUUCGUUGAAAGUUCUGUUAAGUAUUGGACCCAAUGGUCCUCCACGACAGACGGGAACAAUCCGAUCCUCUAUAUCUCCCUCGACUUGAAGAUAUGCUUCUUACCCGUAGGUUUUCAAGAUCAAAGCUAGGCUUCUGAUACUUGUAAAAUAAUCGUACCAUAAGAUCUCUUCCAAAACAACACUUCCAACUCGUUUGAGACUUGUCUAAACAACUCUUUCCACCCUUGGGGUUUGGUUUAUGGACCCUUUAGGAACGGUGCCGCAUGGACUUCCUGUUAGUCAAACGACUUAGAGACAGUACAAACCUUUUUCGGUGACGUCAAUUUUCACGUUCAUUUACCUCUGGUUCUGGUUGGUUACAACUCUCAGAGGACCGUAUAAAGUUCCUCUUCUUACUGUGCCUCUCAUAGCUGUCCAAUUACUCACAUGAGUCUUCAUCUCCCACACGACUCUUGCUUCUCAUGUUCAGUAACUAACUGUGGAUACGAAACCACCAACGCCCGUGCACUACUACCUACCUGUGGUUGCUAUGUUAUACUAAUCAUUUAUCGGCAACUUGUGAAGAACAUUAGACUUACAGCCUUCUUGGGGGCGAACUCUCAAGUACACCAUGCCGAGACAUGAAGAAAAGUAAGGUCUCGCCAAUCCACGUAAAAUAUUCAUCAAAGAGAUGUCUUUUAGCCUGUUAUUCCAUGUAUCUACUAUCCAGACGGAAGAAAGACUGGUGAAUCAAGUCAAUCUUUAAGAGUCUAGUAGUUCUCCUCCGGCAAAUGGUCCAAGGAAACAUGAAAGAUGUACAUGUAGCUGUAAUGGUAGUUCCUCAAUUAGCACGGAAGAGUACCUUCGCAUGUAAAAAGUCAGUGGAAAUGAAGAAAAAAACCAGAACAAGUGGCGGAAACAAUAUUCGACGUGACGCAUACAACGUACACCCGAAACGAACUCAUGGAUCGUGAUCGUCCACCUAGUCUCAUCGUCUUCUACGUACCGACCUUUAGAGUAAUAGAGGCGGUAAAGAACAACAAUAGCCCUAACUCCCCCAAUGGAACUGCGAACGUGCAACCGGGGGAAAAGAUAUGUCGAAAGUUUGAUACUUCACGAUGUCGAGUUCGACAGCUAGACGUAAACAGCCAAGCUAGCAGCCGUACAAAUAAAGACUGACCAUGUAGACAACACGUCUAUAACUUCGGUACUGUCAACGCCUACUUGUCGGGCCUGGUGGACCUCGGGAGGGAACGGCCAUCUACCGGAUAAAGGAACUCUUCUCGUCAAUAGACUAGCACCUAAAGAGCAUUAUUAUUAUGCACGCCCCAGUGACCUCCCCGACGUCGACGUCCUUCCACCCACCAACGUAGGUCCUACGUCGUGCGUGACUGAUUUGAUUACCGGUCUAAGCGAGUGUCGAUCCACUGCCCGUUUCUCACUCGAGUUUUCCGCCUUUUAAUUUCCUCAGGUCGGUGUCGGUAACGAGCGAAAUGAGUUUGCAGUGGCUGAUAAACAGUAGAGGCUUUCUCCGGAGCCAAGUCGAACGUUCAACCUCAUGUCAAAUAAUGACACUAGGGCAGUACCUGUUGCACUAAUGCUGCUGGACAUUUUAUUCUAUUAGUACCGUCGAACUGGGAGAUUCGUCUGCACUAGCCGUGAGGGUAGGCUCCUCAAACCCUUCUCUGUACUGACAAGAUACAAACCCAUGCGAAAGUUGCAGCACGACUAUCCGUUAAGCUAUGCAGACACGGUGGGGUUCAUUCGCCUCUCGAUCGGUCACCGUCACCGUCACGAUCCCUGUCGGUUCGCACGUCGCGUCGUGACCUACGGAAGACCGACCCGAUGAUCAUAAUUUGAGGUGGGUUGUUGAUUGGUUGUUGAUGGGUGCGUGCGUGCGUGACCAUUUCCCUUUUCUCUGCAGCUUCUUCGCACAAAACCUAAAAUCCCUAGACAAUCAAUAUUACGGACAACCUUAAUAUCACAGCACCUCGUUUGCAUAAAAUCUUAAGUCUCUCGUAAUGUUAAGGAACACAGAGUACCGCGCUGCUCCUGUACGAAACGAACGAAACUACAGUUAGCAAUCCGUAAAACCUCUUGCCCCCUAGGAAAAGACCAUCAUACUUCACAACAACGUACUUUAGGUAUAACCUUAGUACACUUAAAUGACACAAGGUGUUUCUGGUGUCCAUGUUCGAAC
rnacentral:rRNA from 1 species